rnacentral:rRNA from 1 species
CCUACGGGUGGCAGCAGUAGGGAAUCUUGCGCAAUGGGCGAAAGCCUGACGCAGCGACGCCGCGUGAGUGAUGAAGGUCUUCGGAUCGUAAACCUCUGUCAGCAGGGAAGAACGGUCACUGUGCUAAUCAGCCGUGACUUGACGGUACCUGCAAAGGAAGCAACGGCUAACUCCGUGCCAGCAGCCGCGGUAAUACGGAGGGUGCGAGCGUUAAUCGGAAUUACUGGGCGUAAAGCGCUCGUAGGCGGUAUGUCAAGUCAAGGGUGAAAUCCCCGCGCUCAACGUGGGAACUGCCUUUGAAACUGGCAAACUGGAGUGUGGGAGAGGAUAGUGGAAUUCCAGGUGUAGGAGUGAAAUGCGUAGAUAUCUGGAGGAACAUCAGUGGCGAAGGCGACUAUCUGGCACAUAACUGACGCUGAGGAGCGAAAGCGUGGGUAGCAAACAGGAUUAGAUACCCUGGUAGUC